AGAUUGAACGCUGGCGGCAUGCCUUACACAUGCAAGUCGAACGGUAGAGUAGCAACACUUGAGAGUGGCGAACGGGUGAGUAAUAUAUCGGAACGUGCCCAGUCGUGGGGGGAUAACGUAGAGAAAUUUACGCUAAUACCGCAUACGAUCUAAGGAUGAAAGCGGGGGACCGUAAGGCCUCGCGCGAUUGGAGCGGCUGAUAUCAGAUUAGGUUGUUGGUGAGGUAAAAGCUCACCAAGCCGACGAUCUGUAGCUGGUUUGAGAGAACGACCAGCCACACUGGGACUGAGACACGGCCCAGACUCCUACGGGAGGCAGCAGGUGGGAAUUUGGACAAGUGGGACGAAAGCCUGAUCCAGCAAUGCCGCGUGCAGGAAGAAGGCCUUCGGGUUGUAAACUGUCUUUUGUACGGAACGAAACGGUCUAGACUUUAAUACGAGU
rnacentral:rRNA from 1 species